UACGUAGGGACCAAGCGUUGUUCGGAUUACUGGGCGUAAAGGGCGCGUAGGCGGCUUGUCAAGUCACUUGUGAAAUCUCUGGGCUUAACCCAGAACGGCCAAGUGAAACUGACAUGCUAGAGUGCAGAAGGGGCAAUCGGGAAUUCUUGGUGUAGCGGUGAAAUGCGUAGAUAUCAAGAGGAACACCUGAGGUGAAGACGGGUUGCUGGGCUGACACUGACGCUGAGGCGCGAAAGCCAGGGGAGCAAACAGGG
rnacentral:rRNA from 1 species